rnacentral:rRNA from 1 species
AUUGAACGCUGGCGGCAGGCUUAACACCUGCAAGUCGAGCGGAGUGGCGCACGGGUGAGUAAUGUAUAGCUAAUCUGCCCUACACUAGAGGACAACAGUUGGCAACGACUGCUAAUACUCUAUAGUGUAGGAUGAGGCUAAAUUGUAUCAGCUCGUUGGUGAGGUAAUGGCUCACCAAGGCUAUGACGCAUAGCUGGUCUGAGAGGAUGGUCAGUGACACUGGAACUGAAACACGACCCAGACUCCUACGGGAGGCAGCAGUAGGGAAUAUUGCUCAAUGGGGAGAACCCUGAAGCAGCAACGCCGCGUGGAGGAUGACACUUUUCGGAGCGUAAACUCCUUUUGUUAGGGAAGCGGUACCUAACGAAUAAGCACCGGCUAACUCCGUGCCAGCAGCCGCGGUAAUAC